CUUCCUCUUCUAACCCCAAUACAGUUCCUAUUUGGCUCUAUUUGACCUGAGUGUCCAGCUCUAUUUUUCACUGUGACUUUCUCUAUUUUUAGUCUCUGAAAAGAUGUUAUUGAAAGGGAUUUGGUUUCUUGAUCAAGGCACACUUCAGUCUUCUUUUACAUAAGCUGAAUCAAUCAUGCUUUCUAAUUCUCUCAAGUUAAUGCAUGUUUUUCAAUGCUUUAUGUGGUUCCUCUACAGAUUCCUCAUUUUUUUCACUUUUUUUUCUCUAUGUUGUAGAGAAUGUACAGGGUAUUUCAACCCUAAGUUAGCUGAUACUGCACUUUUAGAUGAAAAUGAACCAUCAAAUACUACCCACUCUUAUUCACCACCCUGUAUGGACUUGAUUAAGUCCAUAUGGAUUAAGUUAAGUUUUCCUGUGAAGUCAAAACCAGUCUAGGAGGUUAAUAUUUACUUUCAUACAAGGGCCCUUAUACCUCUUUCCAAGUUACAAUUUCCCAUUUUUUUUAUGUUAGCCUUCAUCAUUGCUCAUAUUCGUAGGAGCUUAUUUUCAGUGCCUCAAUACAUGACCGACUACACUGCAUGUUUGUGUUUUGUUUCUGUUGUAUGUAAUAGGAUAUGUUUCAUGUCUUCAGUUGUAAUGAACUACUAUUUUGGUCUUAGAACAAAGCAUUUUUACAGAGUGUGUAUCAUAAGAAUUGAAAACAACCCUAAAAAAAAAAAGCCAAGUGCCAGAUCGCCUGAAUGUACUUCUUGGUCCUGAUUUCCUCAUACGAAUUAUUUCAUUUUGUCCAAGUCAUCAUUUCUAAUUCUUCAGCUGACUUUCUCAGAUUAGAACUGCAGUGCUGGUGGAGAUGCUAUCACUGUGUUUCACAGAAGGAGGGUCUUGUUCAUCCACUAAAAAGAAACCAAAAAUGAAAACAAAAACAAAUUAAUUAAACCACAUGCAAUGGAGAACAACUUCUGAUACCUUUGAUGAAAGUUUAUCUGAAAUCAGUGAUGUUCCAGCUGCAUUAACAGUUGCAUAUCUGAGUACAUGUGGAGCACUCUCACACAAGCAAAUUGUUUUUAACAAAAAACACAGUUUACAAUACCUACUAAUACAACUGUGAAAUUCUGUCCAAAGCAUUUUAAAGUCAAUAUGCAUACACUAGCAGAAAGUCAUACUACUUGAGUCAAGGUUCCUGUACACAGGUCGCCUGGCUUCAGUUUUAGAAAGGGAAUGCACUGCUGUGCAUGAUACUGCCUUCAUCCCUUGAAGCACAUGAGAUUCUGAGUUCAAACAACUUACAUACAGAGACAUCAGAAUAUGAAAUAAGGUGAGGAUUACUUUAAUAUGCACUUUCAAAUCAUAGUAUCACAGAAUGAUAAAGGCUGGAAAGAACCUCUGGAAUUCACCCAUUCCAAAUCCUGCUCUGCACAGGGCCAGAAUAGAUCAGGUUAUUCGGAGCUUUGCCCACUCAGAUUCAGAAUACCUCCAAGAUAGGAAAUUGCACAACCCCUCUGGCAGUGUCUAAAGACUUUUUCAGACUUUUCAAUAUGUGAAAUGCUGCAGGGGUUGUCAUCAUCAGGCACAUUUUCUGCAUGAUAUGUAAACACACAAAUAAAAAUGAGCCUAUGUGAUAUCAAUUUAUAUGCCAGUUGACACGGGUCCAAGCAGAGACCUCCAGAGCCAAGUAGCAUUGUUUUGUUUUGUUUUCUAAGACCAUCACAGAGAUUUACAAUUACAUAAAACAAAGUUAGAAGAGAGUGCAACUAGUCACCUAGUCUAAUUUUCUGUUGCAAGGCAUUAUCAAUUGUAGUUACAAUAUUUCUAAAAGACAUUUCCCUAACCUGAUCUUAAUAGUCUCCACACUGCAGUAUUUUAUACUAAAAUAGGUUAACUAGAAUCUAACUGUGUAAAUGUCUAAUCUAAACUCUCAGUAAAUUUCUCAUUCUCUGUUACUCACCAUGUACUGAGGAGAACAGGUUACUCUCUUCCACUUCACAAGGAUUUCUCAUAAUAUCAGUUAAGUAAUGCAAGAACUGAACACCAGUGUCCUGCUAACACUGAGCUGAAACCAGGGAAUGGGGUGCAGUGCAGGCCUUCCCACCUGUAGAAACUGAUUGUACAGGUAGCUUUCUCUUUUACAAAUUACCAUGGAGAAGAUAUGGAGAUAGGAAGUCAUGUUGACAAUUGAAAUAAGCCAUUCCUAACCCCAUCCCAGACCCAAAUGCAAUAGGCUAUGUCUUUCUUUUGAAGGAGAUGACUGAGAAAACAAUUUCUAACCCAAUUCUAGCACCCAGCUUGACAGCGGAGUCUGCCAGACAAUGAUCCCAAUUCCUGCCCAGCUCGCCCUCCAAUGCCAUCUUGACAGACCCCUCCCACCUCUUGAGCUCUCAGAGAUCGGAAUAAUAUCAACAGUAAGUUACUAUGUUGACUGCAAAAUGUCUAUGAAAUAUUUGACUUCAUCUGUAACUCUUACAGAACAACUGACAUGAUCAAGGAAUAGUCAGCAAGGUUAUCCAAAGUUGUACUUGCAUCCAUCAGUGCCAAGAUAAAUGAUGCAGAAUUUAUGCAUUUGUGGCAUUUAUGUAUUUGCAAGAAGGCGUAUUCUGAUUACAAGGGUU
ensembl:lncRNA